AGUGAACGCUGGCGGUAGGCCUAACACAUGCAAGUCGAACGGCAGCACAGUAAGAGCUUGCUCUUACGGGUGGCGAGUGGCGGACGGGUGAGGAAUACAUCGGAAUCUACUUUUUCGUGGGGGAUAACGUAGGGAAACUUACGCUAAUACCGCAUACGACCUACGGGUGAAAGCAGGGGGUCUUCGGACCUUGCGCGAUUGAAUGAGCCGAUGUCGGAUUAGCUAGUUGGCGGGGUAAAGGCCCACCAAGGCGACGAUCCGUAGCUGGUCUGAGAGGAUGAUCAGCCACACUGGAACUGAGACACGGUCCAGACUCCUACGGGAGGCAGCAGUGGGGAAUAUUGGACAAUGGGCGCAAGCCUGAUCCAGCCAUACCGCGUGGGUGAAGAAGGCCUUCGGGUUGUAAAGCCCUUUUGUUGGGAAAGAAAAGCGGCAGGUUAAUACCCCGCUGUUCUGACGGUACCCAAAGAAUAAGCACCGGCUAACUUCGUG
rnacentral:rRNA from 1 species